AUAUGAUUUCAGCUCUUUUAGUAUUUGUCCAGUAGGUUUCCCGCUGUGUGGGAAGCCCCA
rnacentral:snRNA from 1 species